UACGUAGGGGGCAAGCGUUGUCCGGAAUUAUUGGGCGUAAAGAGCGCGUAGGCGGUCCGCUAAGUCGGCUGUGAAAGUCAGGGGCUCAACCCUUGGAAGCCGGCCGAUACUGUCGGACUAGAGUCCGGAAGAGGCGAGUGGAAUUCCCGGUGUAGCGGUGAAAUGCGCAGAUAUCGGGAGGAACACCAAUGGCGAAGGCAGCUCGCUGGGACGGUACUGACGCUGAGGCGCGAAAGCGUGGGGAGCAAACAGG
rnacentral:rRNA from 1 species